rnacentral:rRNA from 1 species
UACGUAGGGCGCAAGCGUUAUCCGGAAUUAUUGGGCGUAAAGAGCUCGUAGGCGGCUCGUCGCGUCGACCGUGAAAACUUGGGGCUUAACCCCAAGCCUGCGGUUGAUACGGGCGGGCUAGAGUUCGGUAGGGGAGACUGGAAUUCCUGGUGUAGCGGUGAAAUGCGCAGAUAUCAGGAGGAACACCGGUGGCGAAGGCGGGUCUCUGGGCCGAUACUGACGCUGAGGAGCGAAAGCGUGGGGAGCGAACAGG